rnacentral:rRNA from 1 species
GGUAAAGGCCCACCAAAGCGACGAUCGGUAGCCGGGUUGAGAGACUGAACGGCCACAUUGGGACUGAGACACGGCCCAGACUCCUACGGGAGGCAGCAGUGGGGGAUAUUGCACAAUGGAGGAAACUCUGAUGCAGCAAUGCCGCGUGAGGGAAGACGGUCUUCGGAUUGUAAACCUCUGUCCUUGGUGAAGAUAAUGACGGUAGCCAAGGAGGAAGCUCCGGCUAACUACGUGCCAGCAGCCGCGGUAAUACGUAGGGG